GGGCUUGAACCCCGGCGCGACAAUGCCUACCUUUGGAAUGCCCCUCGGGGCUAUGGCGAUAAACGCGCCCGUAAUAAGCGGAUCGGACCCGGGGGCGGUACCCGGCGGCUCCACCAAGCUCCCUCAUUGGCGGGAUCAUGGGGCCGAAACAGGAUCGACGGACGUCUAAAGGGGUUAGCCUUCGCCCGGUGAGCGACCACCGUUAUCGGUGCAAGCAUGAUAGUUGCCAAUGACAACCGUGCUCCGGUGGCCGUUGCUGCGUAAUGCGGUAACCAAACCGAAAACUUGAAGUCCUGUUCCUCUAGCAAGGGCAGGCGGGGUUCGCAGGUACCUGGCAACAGAAACCUGCACU
rnacentral:tmRNA from 1 species